AUGCUCCCGCUCGCCGCCGCAAGGGCCUGCCUUUCCUCCCCGGCGCCACCGCCGAGACCCCAAACCCGAGCGGCGCCUCUCUUCCCCCUUCAUCGUCGCCGCUCCACCACCACGCUGCCUAGACCCGCCAGGAUCCCCCUCCUCCGCCCGCUCGGGGCCGCCGCGGGUGCAGCUCCACGCGCGUCCUCGCGGCCCGCGAGGGACCGCGUGAUCGACUUCGGCAAGAACAAGGGCCGGAUGUUGGGCAUGCUGUCGCCGUCCUACCUGCGAUGGGUGGUCGCGGAGCUCGACUACAGGGACACGCUGGUCUGGGCGCGCCUGGCGCGCGAGGUGCUCGACGACCCCAUCUACGCCGACCGCGUCGAGUAGUGGGAGCACGCGCACCACUUCCUCCGCGGCGACUCCAAGUUCGACUACGUCUACUAUGACGAUGACGGCGACGGGCUCCUCCAGGAGAUGGCCGAGCACUUCGGCUGGGAUCUCUCCAACGAGGACGGCUGGGGCCGCCUCGACUUCCGCCUCCUCGGCACCUCCUACGGCGGCCGCAUCCCGAGGAAGUCCGGCCGGAGCCAGAGCACCGGCAGAGGCAGCNNNNNNNNNNNNNNNNNNNNNNNNNUGUUCGACACCGGGGCGGCCGACCCGGACGGGCCGAGGGGGAAGAGGGACGAGAGGAUGGAGCGGAUGCGGACGAGGAGGGAGGAGCAGGUGAGGACGGCGAAACUGGAUGUGCUCGGCGUGAAGGAUGGCCACGGUGGCACCUGGUUCGUGGGCCCAACCAUUCAGAUUUGUGCUUAG
rnacentral:rRNA from 1 species